CGGUCUCCGUGACGCAGCUAACGCAUUAAGUUCCCCGCCUGGGAGUACGGCCGCAAGGUUAAACUCAAAGGAAUUGACGGGGACCCGCACAAGCGGCGGAGCAUGCGGAUUAAUUCGAUGCAACGCGAAGAACCUUACCAAGGCUUGACAUAUAGAGGAAACGUCUGGAAACAGUCGCCCCGCAAGGCCUCUAUACAGGUGGUGCAUGGUUGUCGUCAGCUCGUGUCGUGAGAUGUUGGGUUAAGUCCCGCAACGAGCGCAACCCUCGUUCUAUGUUGCCAGCACGUAAUGGUGGGAACUCAUGGGAUACUGCCGGGGUCAACUCGAAGGAAGGUGGGGAUGACGUCAAAUCAUCAUGCCCCUUAUGUCUUGGGCUUCACGCAUGCUACAAUGGCCGGUACAAAGGGCUGCAAUACCGUGAGGGGAAGCGAAUCCCAAAAAGCCGGUCCCAGUUCGGAUUGAGGUCUGCAACUCGACCUCAUGAAGUCGGAGUCGCUAGUAAUCGCAGAUCAGCAACGCUGCGGUGAAUACGUUCCCGGGUCUGUACACACCGCCCGUCAAGUCAUGAAAGUCGGUAACACCUGAAGCCGGUGGCCUAACCCUUGUGAGGAGCCGUCGAAGGUGGGAUCGGUAAUUAGGACUAAGU
rnacentral:rRNA from 1 species